rnacentral:rRNA from 1 species
UACGUAGGGUGCGAGCGUUAAUCGGAAUUACUGGGCGUAAAGCGUGCGCAGGCGGUGAUGUAAGACAGAUGUGAAAUCCCCGGGCUCAACCUGGGACCUGCAUUUGUGACUGCAUCGCUGGAGUGCGGCAGAGGGGGAUGGAAUUCCGCGUGUAGCAGUGAAAUGCGUAGAUAUGCGGAGGAACACCGAUGGCGAAGGCAAUCCCCUGGGCCUGCACGUGACGCUCAUGCACGAAAGCGUGGGGAGCAAACAGGAUUAGAAACCCG